AAAGUCGUAACAAGGUAUCCGUAGGUGAACCUGCGGAUGGAUCAUUACUGUAAACUGAGGCGGCUUCUCUUUCGGGAGUAGCCCAACCCUCACCACACUUUGUGAACUGUUUACUGUCUCUGGCGAGAGGUCUUUUUUUUUGACAAGUCCAAAUGCCGGGGGGUUGUUACUUAAAUGUGACUUCUCUUUUUUGGCAAGCGGGCUUUGAUAAGAAAGGACUCAACCUCGCCGCUGGGUUUUCGAACCUGGCUUUGUUUAACUCUUAAGCUUAACCAAUCUGUCUGAACCAACGUUUAUACUUUAAAAUGUAUUAACAACUUUUGACAACGGAUCUCUUGGCUCUC
rnacentral:misc_RNA from 1 species